UCACUAUCGGUCCCACACUGCCUCAACACACGGGCAUGCUGACACCUAAAGCUGUGCCCACCACAGGGGCGGCUGCUGGAGGAGAGCCCAGAGCUGAGGCCAGUGACUGCCACAUGGAAAUUCAUCUCAGCACCAGACCCCCACUCUCCUGCUGUGUAAGCCCUAAUUAAACCCUUGCAGCAGAAUAAUUAAUCAUUAGUAGGGGAAUUAAAUAUUAGUCUCUACUGUAGUAAACACUGGUUAUAUAUUAACAAGCUCCCUAGCUAUCCAUUAACCUUUUAAGCCCUUUCAAAUCCUCUUUAUCAUGCUGCAGAUUUGAGUUAAAUAUCUGUCUCAAAUGACCUUAAGUGAGUGCCCUUUUACUUGCUAUUAAAGGCAUUAAAAAUUCCAGAGCCAGUUUAGUUAUUUUGUCCUUUCUGGUUGUUAUCAUCUUUUCUAUUUGGCUUUAUUUAAAUUCAGCUAUAGGGAAGGCUUAUCACACUAUUGCUAUGGAGCCAUUAUAACUUCCCAGAGACUGAGGGAAUCACUUCCUAAAAUGAUGGGUGAUAACUGAGGCAAUGAUUCUUUUUUCCCCUUGUUCUUGUGCUGCUUUGCAUCAGGCAUUGGCAGAUCCUACACCUCACACCAGAGUACGUGCCCUACAUAGAUGCAGAACAGAGACCACGGGAGAAUGAAGUUAAUGGGCAUAUAUAAGACUCAAAUCAGAUUCAGAGCCACAGUCUCAUUUUUGACCUCUGACUUCCAGCUUGUUAAGGUAAAUCCCUGGAUUUCUCUUGCACCUCUAUGGAAGCUAGGGCUAUUUCUUCUCUGCUCUCUAUUCCUUUUUACUAAAAAUGUAAGUAAGUUGCUUAAGGCCACAGUUUGUGCAGGCUGGUGUCCAGUAUCAGAUCUCCCACCUUCAGGGUUUAUAGCCCUGCCACUAGCAAGGUAUCAUAAUGGUCGUGAACCAAGUGAGAGAAGAAGGGAGCUGUGGGACGUGCUGACCAUAGCAUCUAACUCUGCAGUGCUGAGAGAUUUGUAGCCAAUGCAAGGGCAGAGCUGCUUUUAGGGGUCAGGCUGGGUCACAAGGAAAGUAUUUAUGAUGUCUAGAUAGAGGAAACAUCUGUUCUUCCCAUCUGAAAGCCAUGUUGCAAGACAGUCUUGGUGGCUUUGGCUAUGAAGUCUUGCUUUCCGUUCCUUACCUGUUUGUUAGUUAGGAAAGCAAAUGCAAGCCAAAUGAGGAUUGGAAAGACCUGUUUGCCAGGUUCCUGCUUGGGGUGGGAAAGGCAGCGGAGGUGUUGCCCUUGAUGAUGCUGCCUCCUCCCUCUGCAUCUGCAACCCAGGGCUGCAGCACAGACUCGGCCCUGGUGCAGGCAAAGAUCCGCUGUCAGCUGGAGACGUGCUUGAAACGCUGCCCGCACUGCUCUGUUCCGCAUUUGAGGGUGUCUGUUUUAGUUUGAUAAGCCUGUGGGAUGUGCAGAAUUAGGAUGAUCUCUUGGAGCAUAUUCACCCUUGUGUGGGUGACUUCAGGCUUCAGACUUCCCAUGGUAAAAUUGCUUCAUACAAUGAUUUCAUCGUCUACACGUUGCAGAAAAGAAGCCCAUGUGUUGGAUAGUCAAAAGAUCAGGCAAAUAUUUGACUCUGUGUGCAACAAAAUAUUAUGAGGUUUGAAACUACUGGGCUAUGUUUUUCAUGAUGUAUCUCACCCUAUGGCUUGCUGUUUGACCUCGGGAACCUGCAAGCUGAGCGCAGUUGCAUCACUGUCACUGGAUAACUGCUGUUCCUUGAACUGAAUACAUUAGCACAAUAAAUGUGAUUGCUGGGUA